rnacentral:misc_RNA from 1 species
GAUGAAGAACGUAGCGAAAUGCGAUAAGUAAUGUGAAUUGCAGAAUUCAGUGAAUCAUCGAAUCUUUGAACGCACCUUGCGCUCCUUGGUAUUCCGAGGAGCAUGCCUGUUUGAGUGUCAUUAAUAUAUCAACCUCUUCAGCUUAUGCUUGUUGAGUGUUGGAUGGUGGGGGUUUGCUGGUGUCUUAUGAAGUCAGCUCCUCUGAAAUGCAUUAGCGGAACAAUUUGUUGACCGUUCAUUGGUGUGAUAAAAAUAUCUGCGCUAUUGACGUCAGUCAGUUCAGCUUCUAACAGUCCAUUGACUUGGACAAAUUUUUCAUUAAUGUGACCUCAAAUCAGGUAGGACUACCCGCUGAACUUAAGCAUAUCAAUAAGCGGAGGA